AAGUGCCGAUUCAGAACUAUUAAUUAAUUGAUAUGACAUGAUUAGAGAAGACUCACCAACCAGAGGCCUCUUCUUCUAACAAUCAGGGUCCCUACAGAAAUAAUGUUAAUCAGCAACAGCUGAUAUAUUUCCUGAUAACGAGGUUCAACUCACAUAAUCAACGCUUCUGCCUGAUGCGUUGUACAUUUCUCUUCUCGCUAAUAAAAACAGUGAGAAGAAGAUUUGAUUAGAGAUUCAGAGGCCUUGAAGCUUCAGCCCAGAACUUCUACCUUUUCUAUUGGAUGAAUCUGCAGCAGCGGUCUCGGCGUGAAGCAGGACCUGCUGUGUGUUUUAUGUAGAGAGGCAGAAAGUAGGAGUGGAGGAUGAAGUACACAAAUCCUGGACUUGAGUAAAACGUACAGGUAUGUGUGUGAUUCACAGUGUGCGGCGGCGGUUGUGCAGUUCCUCGGUUUGUUUAGGAGGUGACAUCAUCUCUACACCUGAGGCGGCGGAGCUGACACCUCCAUCUCUCAGACAGAUCCUGCAGAGAGACAGACGGGGGCCGGCGGAGGACCGGAGGACCGGCAGGGGACCGGGACUGAGCGGCCGCAGCAGCCGAAAGUCAGCUUCAUCCUGCGGACGGAUGUCCAGACAUGUUGUUCAGUUGAGCAGAUUUCCGGCGAGCCGGCUGCCGUCUGUUGCAGACAGACGCUCAGGAACCUUCAGCAGAGCGGCGUCUCACUUUAAACGUCUCUCCCCCCCCCUCCGGGACGCUGGCUCGGUUUGGCACCAAAAUCGAGUGUUCAGUCAACAGCUGUGACCACGCUGAAGCUCACCGUCAGUCCAACCCCAACAGGAAGUCCGUUUUUUUGAAGCUCCUCCCUCGUGGCUGAUCAGAGUUUUUUGUCACUUUUUUGUUUUUACUUUAUCGUUGUCCGUAACAGGAGAGUUUUGACCUCCUGGUGUUUGCAUGAGCGGUGAUGCCUUCAGGGACGUCUAGUCGUCGCUGAUGACGUCCACGUCCUCCCCCCCGGGCUGCUGUGUGGCUGCUCUCCAGCGGUUGAUGUGCUGACUGCCCUUCCUCUUCUGCUGAGCUUCUGGAGACUCUUCCUCCAACUUCUGACGCUUGUGCUUCGUCCUGCGGUUCUGAAACCAAACCUUCACCUGCACACCGACAGAGAGAGAGACAGGUGUGUCUUAAUACAGUGAAAUGAGCUCAUAAAUAAAUCUGGGAUGAUUCACAUCGUUUCGCUGGCGUCAGGACUCGUAUCGCUGUGGCGACCCGAUGACAAACGCUGUCAAUCAUUCCUGAGAAAAGGGGCAGGGAGCGCCUCGGAGCUGACUAACCGUCGACUCACGGUCCCUCCCCUCCCCAGUCACUGGACCGCCGCCAGUUGCCUUCAGAUCAUACCUGAGCUCAUCCUGAGAAACACGACGACAUAACGGAAGACUCGCCGGAAAGCAGCGAUGUUUCAGCGCUGACGUUGCUGAGCAAGGCACUGACGCCAGCAGAGUUGGGGGUUUAAAUCCCGGGAGGUAUGAUGUACACUUAACUACUGAGGAAUCAACUGCCAUCAUUUUUUAUUUUCACUAUUUUAUUUACUUUCAUUUGUGACAUUUCAGUGAGUAAAAUUUUAUUGAAGUUACUUUUUUAAAGUGGUAAUAUUAUGCACAUUUUCAGGUUCAUAAUUUUAUGUAAGGGAAUGCACCAGAACAGGUUUGUGUUUGUCAGACUGUACAUCGCUGCAUCGUGUGUUGAACUCUCCAUUUUAGCUACCGAGUGAAGCAUCUCAUCAAUCACUCAAUCUUUGUUGGGAGUUUCACAUGUGCAGUACCUAGUUAAGGCCUCUAGCCAAUCAGAAGCAGAGUAGGGUGGGUCCUAAACACAAGGUUUAGCUGUACAUGUUCCCAAACCUGCUUUUAAGUAUAAUUUCUACUGAAAGAAUUCUUAAUAUAUAAAAUUCAGAAUAUCUGUGUUUGAGACUAUAUUCCAAAUUAAUUAAUUAUUUUUUUACUGACUUUCACUGCAAGUUGUUCUUGUCAACUUGACUUGUUAACUUUUAGUUUAGUUUUAUAUAUUCAGUGUAAUUUGUACAAUGAUUUCUAUACUAUCAGCUGGGGGAAGGCUCAGUUAUGUUAAUUGUGGUAAAUGUUAAAAAUUCAAUAAAUAAGACUGACAGUCAGAAA